ACGGAAGGCAGCAGUGAGGAAUAUUGCACAAUGGAGGAAACUCUGAUGCAGCAACGCCGCGUGAGCGAUGAAGGUCUUCGGAUCGUAAAGCUCUGUCCUUGGGGACGAAACAAUGACGGUACCUAAGGAGGAAGCCCCGGCUAACUACGUGCCAGCAGCCGCGGUAAUACGUAGGGGGCGAGCGUUAUCCGGAAUUAUUGGGCGUAAAGAGUACGUAGGUGGCUGCGUAAGCGAGAGGUGAAAGCCCGGGGCUUAACUCCGGCGAGCCUUUCGAACUGCGUGGCUUGAGUGCAGGAGGGGAAAGUGGAAUUCCUAGUGUAGCGGUGAAAUGCGUAGAUAUUAGGAGGAACACCAGUGGCGAAGGCGACUUUCUGGACUGUAACUGACACUGAGGUACGAAAGCGUGGGGAGCAAACAGGAUUAGAUACCCUGGUA
rnacentral:rRNA from 1 species